rnacentral:rRNA from 1 species
GACAGAGGAUGCAAACGUUGCUCGGAUUUACUGGGCGUAAAGCGCGCGCAGGCGGUCUCGUAAGUCAGACGUGAAAUCCCGAGGCUCAACCUCGGAAGUGCGUCUGAUACUGCGAGACUGGAGUACUGGAGAGGAGAGCGGAAUUCCCGGUGUAGAGGUGAAAUUCGUAGAUAUCGGGAGGAACACCAGUGGCGAAGGCGGCUCUCUGGACAGAUACUGACGCUGAGGCGCGAAAGCGUGGGAAGCAAACAGG